UACGUAGGGUGCAAGCGUUAAUCGGAAUUACUGGGCGUAAAGCGUGCGCAGGCGGUUAUGUAAGACAGAUGUGAAAUCCCCGGGCUCAACCUGGGAACUGCAUUGUGACUGCAUAGCUAGAGUACGGUAGAGGGGGAUGGAAUUCCGCGUGUAGCAGUGAAAUGCGUAGAUAUGCGGAGGAACACCGAUGGCGAAGGCAAUCCC
rnacentral:rRNA from 1 species